ACGACUAUUGUAAUUAUUUCUACCCAGUGAGCCUUAUUUAGCCCUUUGGAGAGAAAGAAUUUAGACCUCAUGCCUUUUCUAUUUGAGGCUUUAUAGAGAACACCUUGCACAGAAUUCCUGUUACAUAGCUACUACUGGAUGUGCUUACAGAAUUCCAGUCAGGGGACUCACCACUAAAGGCUCUCCAUCUUCCUAGACCAAAGUUCCCUAGGAGAAGAAAUCUGUCUCUGUGGCCUCUACUUCCCAACCCUGUAUCCCCUUGGGACCAGAAAGAAUAAACGGGGCAUGCUGGAGAACAAUUCUGAAGGUUUGCUAAUGGAAAGCCAUAGGAGCAAAGCGGCAGCGCGAAUACUUGACCAGUAACAUUCACUUCGAGAAGGAGAUGCCUUCUCCACUGCUGAUGGGGCUUUAGGACCAGAGGAAGUGUCCACAGAGCUGGGGCUUCACCAAGCAGCCAAAGGGCAUCACAUGAAGUUCCACACAACUGCACUUAGUCUGAAAUCCUGUGGCCAAAUACCUCGACUUCAAUGAUGUCAUCCAGUGAUCCCAACAAAAGGAUUAUUUCAAUAUCUUGAACUUUGCAAUCAAGCAGUAGAUUAUGCUUCUCUAGCCGUUUCUGUUCCAAAGAAGUUUGAAUGAUUACAACUUCUUUUUGCCAUUUUCCCACUUCCCUGUAAAUACACGAUAUGAAAAGUGAUAUUUUACUACUUAUGUAAAGUUGCACCAAAGAAGAAAAAUGAAUGUGUUAUAAAUAAACUUACAUGGAAAAAAGAUUUUUUUUUCCUUUGAGUGCUAUAAGAUCUGGAAUUACCUCAUUGAUGUUUGUAAUAUAAACUUUAACACUCUUGAGAAAGGAUGAAUAUAGUUAGUUAACCCAAGGGAGCAUUUUAAAAUAAUAAACAUAAUUACUUUAAUCAGGCUGGCUUUAGGAGUACCUGGGUGGCUCAGUGGUUGAGUGUCUGCCUUCAGCUCAGGUCGUGAUCCUGGGGUCCUGGGAUGGAGUCCCACAUUGGGCUACCCGCAGGGAGCCUGCUUCUCCCUCU